GGCGGCUGCGCAUAAGCCGGCGGCGGAGCCCGGGGCCAGUGUCUCCGGCCGGCCCUGCCCACCGCGGGAGCUCCGCCUCGGGCAGGCCAUGGUCCCCUAAUGCCAGUUCGGUUUGUGCCUCCCUCCUGGAAAAAUGCCUGCUAAUGCCUUCUAAGUGCCCAUCUAGGCCCAGCUGACAGCCUGUUCUCUCCAGUAGAUCAGGGCAGGCAAAAGUGUAAUACAAGACACAUGAAGUUUGUCUUUCUCCACCUGGGACAGUCUUCCAACGUUAUCCUGAUCCUACUAUGACCAGAAACUAGAUGUGGAAAAGUUAUUUACAGUUUCCCCCCACCACACGCUGCAAAUGUUUUCUUCAUGGUACACAUACAGUUCAUUCUAGCUCCUGUGUUUGACGGAACUGGAUUUCUUCCAGCUCUGAAGCUCCGUGACCCAGCCCAUGCAGUUUUCAAGCUGUCAGUAUUAGAACAAAAUCUUAAUAAUUUACAGUGUAGUAUGGCCUCUGAAGAAUGUUUUCACUUUGUAUCUUAAUAUGAAAAAUAAAUAAAUGCUGAAAGUCUCUAGCA
rnacentral:lncRNA from 1 species